GCGCAGAGCGGGGGGCUAUAAUGCAGUCGACGAGGUGCUUUGUAGCAAUACGAAGUAUCCUAGUGGCGAACGGGUGAGUAACGCGUUGGUGACCUACCCCAAAGUGUGGGAUAACAGUCCGAAAGGAUUGCUAAUACCGCAUGUGGUUAUUGGAUUUAGAAACCGAUAACUAAAGGAGCAAUUCGCUUUGGGAGGGACCUGCGUCCCAUCAGCUAGUUGGCGAGGUAAUGGCUCACCAAGGCGACGACGGGUAGGGGACCUGAGAGGGUGGCCCCCCACAAUGGAACUGAAACACGGUCCAUACACCUACGGGUGGCAGCAGUAGGGAAUAUUGCACAAUGGGCGAAAGCCUGAUGCAGCAACGCCGCGUGCGCGAUGAAGGCCCUCGGGUCGUAAAGCGCUUUUCUGAGAGAUGAGAAAGGACAGUAUCUCAGGAAUAAGUCUCGGCUAACUACGUGCCAGCAGCCGCGGUAAAACGUAGGAGGCGAGCGUUAUCCGGAUUCACUGGGCGUAAAGCGCGUGCAGGCGGCUCGGUAAGUUGGGUAUGAAAUCUCCUGGCUUAACUAGGAGAGGUUAUCCAAUACUACCGGACUAGAGAGUGGUAGAGGAAGAUGGAAUUCCCGGUGUAGUGGUGAAAUGCGUAGAUAUCGGGAGGAACACCAGUGGCGAAAGCGAUCUUCUGGACCAUUUCUGACGCUCAGACGCGAAAGCUAGGGUAGUAAACGGGAUUAGAGACCCCGGUAAUCCUAGCUGUAAACGAUGUAAACUUGGUGUCGGCGGCUUAAACUCUGUCGGUACCGCAGCAAACGCGAUAAGUUUACCGCCUGGGGACUACGAUCGCAAGAUUAAAACUCAAAGGAAUUGACGG
rnacentral:rRNA from 1 species